rnacentral:rRNA from 1 species
AUUGAACGCUGGCGGCAUGCUUUACACAUGCAAGUCGAACGGUAACAGGCCUUCGGGUGCUGACGAGUGGCGGACGGGUGAGUAAUGCAUCGGAACGUGCCCAGAGGUGGGGGAUAACGCAGCGAAAGCUGUGCUAAUACCGCAUGUGAUCUGAGGAUGAAAGCGGGGGACCAGGCAGCAAUGUUUGGCCUCGCGCCUUUGGAGCGGCCGAUGUCAGAUUAGGUAGUUGGGGGGGUAAAGGCCUACCAAGCCGACGAUCUGUAGCUGGUCUGAGAGGACGACCGGCCACACUGGGACUGGGACACGGCCCAGACUCCUACGGGAGGCAGCAGUGGGGAAUUUUGGACAAUGGGCGCAAGCCUGAUCCAGCAAUGCCGCGUGCGGGAAGAAGGCCUUCGGGUUGUAAACCGCUUUUGUACGGAACGAAAAGGCUCUGGCUAAUACCUGGGGCUGAUGACGGUACCGUAAGAAUAAGCACCGGCUAACUACGUG